GUGAAUCAUCGAAUUUUUGAACGCAAAUUGCACUCUUUUCGGAGAGUGUGCCUGUUUGUGGGUCAGAAUAUAUAAAUUCGUCAUCGUUGUUGUUUCGCGGUGGUAUUCGUCGGAUAUUGGGUCAUCUUAUAUCUUUUGUUUUUAAGCGACUUAAAAUUUUCUUUUUGGUUCCAUGAACGUUUCUAAGAUUUAUUUCUUUACACGUUUAAGGUAUCGAUUUUUAUUAGGCGUGACCUUCAUAUCUGAUCGCGCUCAUAAUCUUUUAUUA
rnacentral:misc_RNA from 1 species